rnacentral:lncRNA from 1 species
UUGUAUCAAAACGGCUGCGUUUCAGUUUGCGCGCUUCAGUUUGAAUUGCGCUUCACUUCGAUUCCUGGCCAUGCAAUUAUUUCAAAUGUGCUUCAUGAUUAUUUGUUUUCCCUCCAUUCAUUCAUAUGUUAUGCUUUAUCUUUUUUUUUAUUUUUUCUCCAUCUUCCAAAAUUCAUAAAUAAUUGAAUAAUGAUCCAAAAAAUAUGAGGUUAU